GAAGUACCUCCUGUCUAUCCUGUCUCUAGCAGGGACGUGAAAAAGGGGCAAAAAAGGUUCUCAUGAACUCAUUUUAGUUCCGGCUCUUUUUGUUGUGAACGCGACAUUUCGGAACUAUA